GGUUGCGAUCAUACCAGCACUAAUGCACCGGAUCCCAUCAGAACUCCGCAGUUAAGCGUGCUUGGGCAGAGUAGUACUAGGAUGGGUGACCCCCUGGGAAGUCCUCGUGUUGCAACCC
rnacentral:rRNA from 1 species